rnacentral:rRNA from 4 species
AGAUUAAACUGAAGAGUUUGAUCCUGGCUCAGAUUGAACGCUGGCGGCAUGCCUUACACAUGCAAGUCGAACGGCAGCACGGAGCUUGCUCUGGUGGCGAGUGGCGAACGGGUGAGUAAUAU